rnacentral:rRNA from 1 species
AGCGAACGCUGGCGGCAGGCCUAACACAUGCAAGUCGAACGGAUCCUUCGGGAUUAGUGGCGGACGGGUGAGUAACACGUGGGAACGUGCCCUUUGGUUCGGAACAACUCAGGGAAACUUGAGCUAAUACCGGAUGUGCCCUUCGGGGGAAAGAUUUAUCGCCAUUGGAGCGGCCCGCGUCUGAUUAGCUAGUUGGUGGGGUAAAGGCCCACCAAGGCGACGAUCAGUAGCUGGUCUGAGAGGACGAUCAGCCACAUUGGGACUGAGACACGGCCCAAACUCCUACGGGAGGCAGUAGUGGGGGAUCUUGCGCAAUGGGCGAAAGCUUGACGCAGCCAUGCCGCGUGAAUGAUGAAGGUCUUAGGAUUGUAAAAUUCUUUCACCGGGGACGAUAAUGACGGUACCCGGAGAAGAAGCCCCGGCUAACUUCGUGCCAGCCGCCGCUGUAACAC